rnacentral:lncRNA from 1 species
CAUUUGCAUCCAGGGGAUUUCUGCUCCUCACACAGGUCCUAGAAAUUCACGAAUCAUGUUCUCCAGGGCCACCCAAGCUUGAAACCCAUUGAUCCAUGGUGUAGCCGGAACACUGUGAUCUCUGAUUGCAGCCAGAACUCUGGGUGCCCCGUCAAGAGGCCACGGGAUCUAAGGCUUUCCCUGUGGAGGGCUCCUUCUCUGACUCCCCACCACGGAUCCUCAUGUGUCUCAGACUGGGCCCGGCAAGUCUGCACUGACCUUCGGAUGGCAAUCUUCCUCGACUGCACACCAGUACCCUGCAGACUGCAGGCAACAAAGGUCAGAGGGACCAGAGCCCAUACCCAGGAGUGUCCUCCGCCCCUCCCAGGGAUGGAGUCCAGAAGGGGAGCAGGUUGGCACCCACUGCUCUUGGGUAUAUGAGCUAUGCAUGGUGGCACAUGCCUGUGAUCCCAGCACUCUGCAGGCUGAGGCAGGAGGAUCUCUAUGAGUCCAAGGUCAGCCUGGGCUACACAGUUAGUUCAAGGCCAGCCUGAAGUAUGUAGGGAGACCUUAUCUCAAAAGAC